rnacentral:lncRNA from 1 species
CUGGAAGGUUAGCAUCAAAUACAAUUAUUUCAAAGUGAAAUCUGUUUAUUUUUAAUCCACACAGGCAGUUUCCCAUUACAGUAAAGCUUUCACAGUUGAGUACCACUGAUCUCUUGUGUUCUUGAAAAUGAUUGGUGAUUAAAAUCACCCCUUUUGCAAGCAGCUACCCACUGGUGCACUCCACAGAGAAUAAUAAACUACCAUCCACAGAAAUAUUAAGACACCACUUAGAGAAUUAGAAUUUUAACCACUUCAUGUGGCUGAGGCACAGGGGCCUUUUCAGCCCAGUGCUAGUUAUUUCAAAAUUGGUAAGGCAGCCCAGCUUAACUCCCUGCUCCCCUGGGGCUGGCUGCCUCCUGCAGUGCUGUGUGAAACUUAACUGUAAUUUGUUGUGACUGAUCCCUAGUGCAAGUGUUAACAGUGGCUACUUGCCAUGAGCAGGAGAGUGAGAGUAAGUGUUGUUUAUGCAGACAAGAAGUGAUACCAAAAUGAGGCUGCAGGUGUGAUUCUAAUUUGCACCUCCAUUUCAUUUGCCUGGAGGCACUACAUCUCUUUGUCAUUAGUUCUGAAUAUAUAUCAUGACAGGGGAAGGCUUACCAAAUGCACCCCUAACAGAUGUGGCAAUCACACUUCUCGCCAGCCCCUCUGUUUUUAUUCAUUCAUGCUUUCCUCAAAUCACUCUGUGCUUGGAGGAAAGGCCCUCACCAGAACUACUCAAGAAUCCAGCCAGCCAGGAGAUGGGAGGAGUGAUGGUGCCAGAGAGCAUGUGGGGCCAUGGUAAGUGUCCCCCCUUUUCCCUGUGACGUAUGAUGUACCUUACAGUGCAUUAUGCAGGCAUAUUUUUGUAUCAGGAGGGUAGAAUUUGAAAACCUCCUCCCGAGGAUCCAAUGGUUCUUUCUGCAGAAUGCCUGCCCUACAAAAUGUUAAACGCUUUUAGAUAAAGGAAUUCAGUGAAAAGGCUUUAAAGGGUCCACGGUGCAUGAUAGAACGUCGAAGAAGCAGAGUUCUGCAGAACAUCAUCAACCCGCCGAACUUUCAUCAUCAGCAUCUAUGCCAAUUUGUAGAAAACUUCUCCACUUAAUAAAUUUUACCUCUCAGAAUGUGAGACCUAUUGAGUGUUGGUAGAUGUUCCUAGGAACAGCAUCAGGGUUCGUGUAUAUUCUUCAAGAGGCCAGCCACUCAGGCUGAGUGCAGUGAGUUUCAACAGUAUGUCCAUGGGACUCUCCUUAUGUUUUGCUGUUGCAAUUGACUUUUUUUAACAGCUUUGUCCUAAAGAAAAUAAAAGCUUAAGUUUAGGAAAUCAAGCUGAGACGGCUGCAUUUUUCAAACAUGGUCGAAAACAGAAAGUCCUGCUAGAAAUCUAAUCUUGGCUGCCUUGGGAAUCUUCACUAGAUGCUGAGAAAGGCUUUUACCUCUUUACCUUAAUUAUUAGAAAGGUGUGUCUGAGGUUUCCAGGGACAUGAAGAUGUUGGUUCAGUUCUAGCGCUUGCUGUGUAAUGCGGAAACAAAGCAUUAAGAGAUGCCUGAUGGAUGAGCGUUGUCUCCCCCACCCCGUUAGAUUAGCAGUAACUACAAAGAUGGGCUUUGAGUCCAAUAUCAAAGUCUUUUAUUUUUAAGACUGUGAUACAUAGUGAGCUUCACUGCCUUCUGAAACCUCCAGGCCAGGGAAUGUAUCUAUAAUGAAGCAAGAGCACUGUUGCCUUUACCAGCUAGCACUUGGUCACUUUAGAAUGUCAUUUUGGCUUUCUUUUCUAUCAGGUAAGAGACAUACCACCCCAACUUUCUGUCUGAAUACCGAGAAAUUCAACAGCCUUCAUAGUGGUCUGUGAUGCCCCAAAGGAUCAUGGCUGCAGCUUGACUCUGCCUGCUCUUUUAAAGGUCAAACCUCAGAAUACCACUUUGUGAAGAGCAUUAUAUUCGAAGAGAAGCACACAGAUGUAAAGCAGGGUUCAAGCAAGGACCAUUUCCACAGCAUCUUCAUGAGACGUCAACACUGAUUAUGCUACUUGCCUAUAUGAACAGAAAGCGGGAAUAAAAAAACCUCGUGGUUUUCCCAAAGUUAGCUCCUUAUAACAGGAAAUUCAUAAGAGGAGAAGUGGCAGGGUUGAGCUGAUCAGUAGAACAGGGUCUGUGAAGCAGGGGAGAGAGGCUCAAGCCAGAGUGGAACUGCACAGCAAGAAGCCAGGCAGCUUCACACGCUGAGCCACCAAGCAAGUCAGUGAAUCCUGCCCUACUUUCACUUCGCUUCCUGCACUGUGUGGAAGUCUGAGCCUCUCCUCACAGGCAUAGAAAGGAAGCAAUCCCCUCUGCACAUCUCCUAAGACGGCCUUUAGUUAUAAAGAAGAAUUAAUUUUUACACAGGAAAUGGACAUUAAGCUGAUGGUGCCUCUCGUGUGGAGGAGAUUGGAGUUCCAGGAUCUGAGCUGGAGAAUCCCCAUUGCUGAACUGUGACUGACAAAGCUUCUGUGAGAGGGACAGUCCAUGGAGGUUUGCAGUGAGCAGGCUGCUGUGUCGCCUGUCCUGCAGUCUACCCAAGUCAACACUUAAUCCACCUUCACCUCAUCACCAGAGUAACCUCCCUCUGGGAAGGUGGAAGGUACACAGACGAUGUAAUGCAUGAGGAAGUCUGGCAGGAGAAUGAAUUUGAAGAAUUAGGCAACACUCUGAAACUAAAGAGCCAGCAAGCCUUGAACCAGUGGUGAUAAGUGGGAGUUGUAUAUGAGCAAGAUGAAACUUACUAUGGGUCACAAAGAGAACUGACUGGUGACCACAGUGAAUAAGAACUCAAUGGAUACUUGAGGUUUACUGGAAGAGUAAUGGAGGGUGUGUGGUAGAAAUAUAUUCAUGUAUGAAGAGGUAAUAAUCUGCUAGUAAAGUACAAAUGGAAUCAGUAUAGAGCUAAGACUUGGAUUCGGGCUUUUUUGUUUUUUUGUUUGUCUCAAGAUUUUUCUGUAUUCAAAUGUGAAUCUUUUUAUUACUGAGUAGUAUUCUACAGUACAGAUCUACCACAGUUUGUAUAGCCACUCACCUAUUCUGGAUUAAUUCUAGUUUUGUUUUCUUUGUU